CCUGCAACAGCCUCAGAAUGAAUACAAGAGAAUCACUUCUCCCUUGAAGUAUCAGACAAGAUGUGUUGCAGCCUUUCCUGAUCAGCAAGGCUUCUUGGUUGGUUCAAUCGAGGGGAGGGUUGGUGUACAUCAUCUAGAUGAUGCACAACAAAGUAAGAACUUCACUUUUAAAUGCCAUAGAGAUGGCAAUGAGAUAUACUCGGUCAACUCCUUAAACUUCCAUCCAGUGCAUCACACAUUUGCAACUGCAGGAUCUGAUGGUGCUUUUAAUUUUUGGGAUAAGGAUAGCAAACAGAGACUCAAGGCCAUGUCACGGUGCUCUCUUGCAAUACCCUGCAGUACUUUCAACAGUGAUGGUUCAAUAUUUGCAUAUUCGGUGUGUUAUGACUGGAGUAAGGGUGCAGAAAAUCACAACCCACAAAC
rnacentral:misc_RNA from 1 species